UUGCGUAGGCAUUGUGCACAGU
rnacentral:miRNA from 1 species